rnacentral:lncRNA from 1 species
AUGUGUGGUGGGGUGGUGCUUCAUGACACCUCACCCGUUAACAAGCCGGACAGUGUUAUGAACUAUGUAUUGAUUCAAUAAAAAAAAAACAAGUUACCAAUAAUCUCCACAAGAACAAAUCCCGUUCUUGAAAUGAUGAAACCGAUGCAAGUCACGUACAAUAAUUUCUCGGUUCUCAACAAGCGAUAUAUACUUAGUCGCGUUAUGACAAUCACCACACACGCGAAGGUUCUUUCUGAUGUGUAUAGUUGUUCCCCGACGCGUAUUCAAAAGCCCAAAAGCAAUAGCAAGUUUCUCACUAUGAGUACUCACCAUUUGUUCUUUCAGAUCAUCUUCUACAUCUUGCAUCAAAUCUGUCGCAGGUACAUAACCAGCAUCCUUAAUCUUAUCGAUCAAUAUUUCAAGAAAAUUAUAAAUCUUGUUAGAAUCCGAAUGCCACGAGCUCCCAGAAUAAAACGUAUGAACUUCAUUUUCUAACUCAACCGAACUAUAUCCAGGUGUUUUCCGUAUCCCUCUUUCCUCCAUUUUACUCCUGAUUUCGGUCACUUUAUCCCACAUUGAAGCCGUUGCGUAUAUGUUUGCUAAAAGUACGUAAUACCCGCCAUCAUUAGGGUUUAACUCAAACAAUCUAUCCGCUGCCAUUUCCGCCAGUUCGACAUUUUUAUGAAUCUUGCAAGCACCUAACAUUGCACCGAAAACGUUAAUCCCGGGCUCAACGGGCAUGUUUUGAAUGAAAUCCCAAGCCUCGGUUAGCCUACCGGAUCUUCCUAACAAGUCCACCAUGGCUCCGUAGUGAUCCAUUGUGGGCUCGAUUUCAUAUUCGUUUUUCAUUUUGUAAAAAUACUGACACCCCUCUUCCACAAAACCCGAGUGGCUACAGGCUGAGAUGAUACAUAAAAACGUUAUAUUGUUUGGCUUGAUAUCACCGGCUUCCAUUUCUUCAAACAGUUUUAUAGCUUCCGUUCCAUACCCGUGCGUCCCGUACCCGUCAAUCAUCGCGUUCCAUGUUGUUACGUGUCUGUCGUUCAUUAAAUCAAAUAGCUUUCGAGCAGUCGUAAUCGCUCCACAUUUAGCAUACAUGUCCACAAGAGCGGUUUUCACAAAGACGUUUGUAUCCAAACAAGUUCUUGUGACGACCCCGUGGACCCACUUUGCUUGGCAUAAUACUGAAAAUUCGGUAACGGCUGCUAUGAUGCUUACCAUGGUGAAUGAAUCAGGGUCGAUGUUUUUUACUUUCAUGAGACGGAAAUGAUUCAAAGCACUGAUUAUUUGACCGUUCUGAGCGUAUCCAAGUAUCAUGGCGUUCCACGAGACAAGAGUUUUUUCUUUCAUGUUUUUAAAUAUUUCAGCAGCAAUGUCGACACGUUUACACUUGCAGUACAUGGAGAUUAGAGAGUUCAUGACCGAAACAUCAUGUUUAAGUCCUAGCUCAUUGACUAACGAAUGAACAAAUAGCCCGCGUGUAAGUUCACCUGAAUCAGCACACGCGUGGAGAGCUACCAUAACAGUCACACCAGUUGGUUUAAAUCCAUUAUCCAACAUUUUGUCAAAGAGCGACAAAGCUUCUGCAUAAUCAUCAUUUUGUGCAUAGCCAUCGAUCAUUAUAUUCCACGAGACCACGUUUUUACUACUCAUCUUGUCAAAAAUCACACGCCCCGUGCUUAAACACCCACAUUUCAAGUACAUAUCAACUAACGCAGUGGCAACAUUUCCAUGACGUUCAUACCCGGACUUAAAAACAUAACCAUGUAUCGAUUUCCCGACUCUCAAAUCACCAACAUUACCGACAGCAGGCAAAAUGGAAAUAACCGUAACGGGAUCCGGUCUUAAUCCUUCACUUAGCAUCUGCGCCACUAAUUCUAUUGCUCUCCCAGCAAAACCAUUUUGAGCAUAACCCGCAAUUAUCGUAUUCCAACACACCAAAUCUCUCUCCGGCAAUCUAACAAACACCUUGUAUGCAUCCUCAACCAACUUACAUUUCGCAUACAUAUUAACAACACAAGUCAUAACAUAAAUAUCCCUUUCAUGCCCAUUCAAAAUCACCUGCGCAUGAACCUCUUUCCCUUCCCUAACAUAAUUAUUCUCACCACAACCCUUCAACAAAUACGUAAAGUUAUACACUACAGGCUGCACACCAUCCUCAACCAUUCGACAAAAGAAGGAAAACCCAUCAGAAAUUGAAGAAUUCUGAGCAUACCCUUUAAGCAUUGUGUGAUAAAGAGCAUCGUUUUUAUCUUCAAUUGGUUCAAAAACACGGGUGGCUUCGGUUAAGCUGUUGUAUUUGCAGAACAAGCUCACGAGCUUUGUUUGAAAGAGGUGUUCUUGAUAAAGACCGUUUUUGAUGAUUAGGGGGAUGAUUUGGUGAAGUUCUUGGAGUGAAGUGCAGAGUUCUAGGAGAAUUGCUGCUGGGUGUUUGUAAAUAUGAGGGGGAAUGUGGAUUCUUUGAGUUAGUGUGUGUUGGAUGCGAGAAGAUGAAGAUGAUAUGGGAGAUUGUGGUGGCGUUGAGAGUGAUGCAGUGGGUAAUAUCAGUGAAGUCAUCACGAUUUGCAGUUUCUUCAAUUUUGAUGCCUACGAACAGUUGAAUUUCUGGAUUAACAAGCUUCAAUUAACAAGAAUUAGACCUUCUCUAGUAAACGGAACUCGUAUUUUUCAAUUAACAAGCUUUAGGCACUUUAUUUAAAUCUUCAUCUCAGUGAGGCAAUACAUCAAACACCAAGCAUGCAUAAGUGCAUAAUCCUGAAUAUUAAAUCUUAAGUAACCAUAAACACCCUUUCAGAAAAGACACAUGUAGGUCAAGACAUUAAACAUUAUAAUCAAGAACAAUGAAUCAGAGCAAACAUAUAUGCACAGUUUAAACUUUAAAAUCCCCAAUUUAAUUAAAAGUAAGAUAACAAACAAACACAAUUUGUGCAAAAUUAGAAACACGACCACAAACCCAUUAAAAAUUUUACGUUUUCAACAUCGAAUUUAGCAUGCAUUAUAUCAAUUUCAUAGAAAUUUCCAGCUACACACUUAUAACAGAACCCGUAUAUCUUUUGCCGUUUAUAAUGUAGGUACAGAAAGAUUAUAGAUAUAGAGUGAAAUACGUGAAGCGUGGACAAGCGUUUGAGAGAUUGAGGAAGUGAGAGAAGAGCGGAUCCAAUACCAAGACGACUUCUUUCCCAAGAAGUGCAGCAAGUACUUUAGUAAUUUGGGGAUUUCAUGCCCCACGAGUGAGUGAGUUGGUUGAU